ACAAGCGGCGGAGCAUGUGGAUUAAUUCGAUGCAACGCGAAGAACCUUACCUGGGCUUGACAUACACCGGAUCGGGCUAGAGAUAGUCUUUCCCUUGUGGCUGGUGUACAGGUGGUGCAUGGUUGUCGUCAGCUCGUGUCGUGAGAUGUUGGGUUAAGUCCCGCAACGAGCGCAACCCUUGUCUUAUGUUGCCAGCACGUGAUGGUGGGGACUCAUGAGAGACUGCCGGGGUUAACUCGGAGGAAGGUGGGGAUGACGUCAAAUCAUCAUGCCCCUUAUGUCCAGGGCUUCACACAUGCUACAAUGGUCGGUACAACGCGUGUGCGACACUGUGAGGUGAAGCUAAUCGCUCUAAAGCCGGUCGUAGUUCGGAUUGGGGUCUGCAACUCGACCCCAUGAAGUCGGAGUCGCUAGUAAUCGCAGAUCAGCAACGCUGCGGUGAAUACGUUCCCGGGCCUU
rnacentral:rRNA from 1 species